GGGGGUAGGGGGACCGCGGCCAGAGCCGCUUCCGGUUUCGAGCUGCCCCCACUGGCGUCUGGUUGCUGGCUGGGAACUCCGGGAGCCGGAUCCCCGCAGCCCUCUGUGGCCGCCGCGCUGGAGCUCGGCGGGCGCGCGGACACCUCCCGCCGGCGUUCUAGCACCUUCCGAGCCCCGGAGCAGGGCCCGGCAGUGGUGCUGGGGAGAGCCGGGAGGGAGACCGCGGUCCUCUUGGAGGGGUUCUUUGCCAAACGUUGAGGAAUACGCGAUGACAAAGCCAGACGAGGUCCUUGCCCUAGGAGCUUCUGGUCCGGUGAGGGAGACUGAUAAGCAGAUAAGUGACACACGUUGUUUUCAAGUAGAGAAAAACGCCAGAAAGGAAGGAACGGGCGAAGCGAUGGAGGGUGAUAGAAACGGACUCUCAGAGCGGGCCGCUUCGAGGCGGGAACAUUUCAGCUGCGACUUGGAGAAUGACAAAAAAACUGUUUUACAAGGAUUUGGGGGCAGAACCUUCCAAGCAAGGGGAGCAGAAUGAAUAAAGGCCCUGCCAUGAGGAAGAAAUUGA